UACGGAGGGUGCAAGCGUUAAUCGGAAUUACUGGGCGUAAAGCGCGCGUAGGCGGUUGAUUAAGCUAGAUGUGAAAGCCCUGGGCUUAACCUGGGAACUGCAUUUAGAACUGAUUGACUGGAGUACAGCAGAGGACAGUGGAAUUUCAGGUGUAGCGGUGAAAUGCGUAGAUAUCUGAAGGAACACCAGUGGCGAAGGCGACUGUCUGGGCUGAUACUGACGCUGAGGUGCGAAAGCGUGGGGAGCAAACAGG
rnacentral:misc_RNA from 1 species